rnacentral:lncRNA from 1 species
AUGUACCAGUCAGAUUCCUCCAGAGGAACGACAGUCAGCACAGUCUUAGACUUUGAGCAACUUCAGGCUGAGGUGGAGAAUGAACAAAGCCAGCUGACCAUGCUGGACAGGAAGUUACAACAGUUUCUGCUUCAGGCUCUCCUGGGGCUCCUCCAGAGUGAGCAGGAUCUGCUGGAAUUAGAAGACAUGCUAGAACAGAGUUUAUACACUGGGGUACCCCCACAGAAGGUGAAGGGCAUGACAGGCGAUAUCCUAAGUAACCUACAAGACAGGAAUGGACAACUUGUGGAGGAACUAGCAGGGGCAUUCCUCUAUCUCCUUGGGGCUCGGAAGGGAAAGAAAGAUGAUGGGACCAGGGGGGGGGGGGGGGGGGGCGGAGUAGACCAGGGACAGUAACACUCAGAAAACAACACCCUUUCAUCUCUUAUAUGAGGUGCUUGGGAUUUUAGAUUAAGCUUUUCUUUUGAAAACAACAACAAAAAACCCCUCAAAUCCUCUGUGCAUUUUUAUCCUUACAUUGUCCCUAUAAGCUGGAAAGGAGACAGGUAAUCACCUCCCUCUUUCAUUGAUGGAGAAACAAAUGCCCAGAGGGGAAGUGGCUUGCCCAAAGCCAUACAUACAUACUGCAUUGGCAGAGCCCAUUCCUGUGAUCCCUAGUCAGCCAUCUCACCUUCAUAUGGCACUGACUCCUCUUUGAAAAUCCAUCAAUG